rnacentral:rRNA from 1 species
CCUACGGGCGGCAGCAGUGAGGAAUAUUGGUCAAUGGCCGAGAGGCUGAACCAGCCAAGUCGCGUGAGGGAAGACGGCCCUACGGGUUGUAAACUUCUUUUGUCAAGGGACAAAAUCAGGCUCGAGAGCCUGACCGAAGGUACUUGAAGAAAAAGCAUCGGCUAACUCCGUGCCAGCAGCCGCGGUAAUACGGAGGAUGCGAGCGUUAUCCGGAUUUAUUGGGUUUAAAGGGUGCGUAGGCGGACUGUUAAGUCAGCGGUAAAAGCCCGGGGCUCAACCCCGGCGAGCCGUUGAAACUGGUUGUCUUGAGAUGUCGAGAGGUAUGCGGAAUGCGCAGUGUAGCGGUGAAAUGCUUAGAUAUUGCGCAGAACUCCGAUUGCGAAGGCAGCAUACCGGCGGCGAUCUGACGCUGAGGCACGAAAGCGUGGGUAUCGAACAGGAUUAGAUACCCGUGUAGUC